rnacentral:rRNA from 1 species
AGUGAACGCUGGCGGUAGGCCUAACACAUGCAAGUCGAACGGCAGCACAGUAAGAGCUUGCUCUUACGGGUGGCGAGUGGCGGACGGGUGAGGAAUACAUCGGAAUCUACUUUUUCGUGGGGGAUAACGUAGGGAAACUUACGCUAAUACCGCAUACGGCCUACGGGUGAAAGCAGGGGAUCUUCGGACCUUGCGCGAUUGAAUGAGCCGAUGUCGGAUUAGCUAGUUGGCGGGGUAAAGGCCCACCAAGGCGACGAUCCGUAGCUGGUCUGAGAGGAUGAUCAGCCACACUGGAACUGAGACACGGUCCAGACUCCUACGGGAGGCAGCAGUGGGGAAUAUUGGACAAUGGGCGCAAGCCUGAUCCAGCCAUACCGCGUGGGUGAAGAAGGCCUUCGGGUUGUAAAGCCCUUUUGUUGGGAAAGAAAAGCAGCAGGUUAAUACCCCGCUGUUCUGACGGUACCCAAAGAAUAAGCACCGGCUAACCUCGUG